GUGCAGCACGUAAGGCUUGCGAGAAAAUAACCCAGAAAGAGGCUGGAAAACGUGUGUGGGUGACGAGUGAAUGCAUAUCGGCGACACUAUAUGGAACAGCUCUGUCCCUCUUUUCUUUCGUGCUUUUACGAUUAUUCUUGGAACGUGACGCAUACAACAUGCCAGAACUCAUGAUGGAAACAGAUUACUUGCACUGGGAAUUACCGUUACCUGCCGUAUCCGUUUGCGAAGAAGAUAACAAGGAAGCAAUAGAAAAGUUCGUGCGGAGUUAUUAUAUUGAAGAAGAUGAGGUGAUAAAAGUCUCAUCCUUUUUGGAAAAUCUAGUGCAUCCUAGAGCUAAUUAUUGCAUCAGCUGCAUAGCUUCUUGCAACAGUUGUCCUAAAC